rnacentral:rRNA from 1 species
GAUGAACGCUAGCUACAGGCUUAACACAUGCAAGUCGAGGGACCGGCGCACGGGUGAGUAACACGUAUCCAACCUGACCUUUACUCUGGGAUAGCCUUUCGACAGAAAGACUAAUACCCGAUGUCAAGGAUGGGGAUGCGUUCCAUUAGGUUGGUGGUGUGGUAACGGCUCACCAAGCCUGCAGUGGAUAGGUGUUCUGGGAGGAAGCAACCCAACAUGUGAACUAGGGCACGGACCAAACUCCUACGGGAGGGAACAGUGAGGAAUGUUAUGGAAUGGGCGUUAGCCGGGACCAGCCAAGUAGCGUGAAGGAUGAAGGCGUAUGAGUAGUAAACUGCUAUAAUAUAAGAAUAUGUAUUAAAUGAGAAAGGAACGGCUAACUCCGUGCCAGCAGCCGCGGUAAUUC